rnacentral:lncRNA from 1 species
AUAAUUAUGAUCACAUCUCAUUAAGACAAAGAAAAAAAUGAACAUUCUAAAGUGAAAUAAGUGAGAAGGUCCAGGAGAAAGGAAGAAAGGCUACAAUUAUGAAGGUUCUGUGGUCCCACUGGGCCUCCAAAGAGAGGGACCAGGAAU